rnacentral:lncRNA from 1 species
GGGUCACGAGCCUAGAAAAAUAAUAUCACAAAAAAACAAAAAAUAGAACAAAAUAAACAAAAAAUUAUUAAAUAUAAAAAAGAAUCAAAGUAUAAUAAAAUUCACACUUCCACUCUCUUUUGUAUCUAUCUCUCUCUUCUCUCUCUCUCUCUCUCUCUCUCUCUCUCUCUCUACACUCUGGCAUUUUCUGAGUUUCGCUUUCAUCCUCUCUGUCUUCGAGUUUCGCCACGAUGCACAGACAAUCGUUAGGUUCACCUUCUUCCAAGCUCCAUCUUCAUGGAGGAGUCGUUAACGGCGGUGACACUAUCAUCGCCGAUGAACCACCGAAACCUCACCGUCUCUCUUCACCUCCUUCACCACCGAACAAAUUCAUUCACCUCAUUCCAAUUCUCACUCUCUUCUGCUUCUUCAUUCUUUACUUCUUCUCUCACACUCCUUCACCUUCAGAACUAACUCAUUUCAACGGAUUCACUGCAUUCAAACGCUCGAAUAAUCAUAAUCUAGGUAAAAAUACAACAAUGCAAAUUGAAAAUUAAUUUCGUCGUUAUUGAUUAAUUUGUGAAUUUUUUGCUAAUUUUUUUGUUGGAUCUGUUUUAGCGGCGGAGAUAAAUGGUGACAUUGGAGUACAUUACGAUGAUGCGAAAAGAAGUGAUGUGUUGGCGAUUCGAAGUUUGCAACAGAUACCGAAAUCUCAACUUCACAGAAAACUCGCCGAUUUUUAAGCUAAACUCUUCACACGUGUGGUUUCUUCCUUCUCUUCUUUCAUCUCUUACCCCUUCCAUUCUAUAUAUUCUUGCUCCACUUGUAUUGUACUAUUAUUGUAUAUCUAAAAUUAUUUUAGAUUUUGUGUUCGCUCAAGAAGAAAAGAAAGUGAAUAAAAAUUGAUCUCAUAUAUCAUAGGAAAUAAUUUGCAUUGUAAUAGUUAAUCUUGUUCAAUUACUAAAUAGUUGUUUGGUAUCAUCUGGAUUUGUCGGAUUUCAUAGUCAUAAUAUAAUAUGAUUUCGCAUGAACUGGGACGCGCAACUCUGCGUAGUGACUUCUAAUAUUUAGUUUGAUAAACAUUAAACAUCAUUUUGCAGAGUUUUGCAAUCGCUUAUGCAAAAUCACUGUAAUUCGAGGCAUAUUUUGACAAAUUCACAGUGAUACCAAACAACUGCUAAGAAUUGGCGUAGGAUAACCGUGGGUGCGCAGGUGAUGGAAUACAGCUGGAUUCUAUGACCGUUACUGCACCUCGAGCUGCGGUUAAAGAGUGCCAGCUGGAAAUUGUGUUUUAAUUCUUGCUGUCUCUGUGAGAAACAGAACGGGGUUCUGACGGCGUCACCGCUGAGUGGUGUUACACGUGGAGUCGUUUGAGCUAGGGAAACGGAACGGGACGGAAAAUGGAUGGUGUAAAUAAAAAGUGUCGGUGUUAGAAGUUUAAUGAAACGGUGUCGUUGUUGAAGAACUAUUCGGAAUGAAUGAGCAAUUAACUUAGUUGGGCCAUAAUCCAGUGUAGUUAAUGGUGCUAUUUAUUAUGGUAGGUCAUACGUGGGACAUUUAAUUUUAUUAUUUUCGAUUGGUUGGUCCCUAAUCAUGUUCAAUGAUGAUCAAGCAAUAGAAUAAAAAUUAUCACGACAAAAAGAAGAAGCAAUAGAAUAAGGAUAAUGAUAUAUAUAAACG